ACUACGGGGGGCAGCAGUGAGGAAUAUUGGUCAAUGGGCGCGAGCCUGAACCAGCCACGUAGCGUGAAGGAUGACUGCCCUACGGGUUGUAAACUUCUUUUAUAAGGGAAUAACGUGUGGUACGUGUCCUAUUUUGUAUGUACCUUAUGAAUAAGGAUCGGCUAACUCCGUGCCAGCAGCCGCGGUAAUACGGAGGAUCCGAGCGUUAUCCGGAUUUAUUGGGUUUAAAGGGUGCGUAGGCGGCCUUUUAAGUCAGCGGUGAAAGUCUGUGGCUCAACCAUAGAAUUGCCGUUGAAACUGGGGGGCUUGAGUAUGGUUGAGGCAGGCGGAAUGCGUGGUGUAGCGGUGAAAUGCUUAGAUAUCACGCAGAACCCCGAUUGCGAAGGCAGCCUGCCAAGCCAUGACUGACGCUGAUGCACGAAAGCGUGGGGAUCAAACAGGAUUAGAUACACGGGUAGUC
rnacentral:rRNA from 1 species